UUUCCGUAGGUGAACCUGCGGAAGGAUCAUUAUUGUAUAACCGAGGUGCGAGGGCUGUCGCUGACCCGAAAGGUCGUGCACGCCCGAGCGCCCUCACACCCAUCCAUCUCACCCCUAUGUGCACCACCGCGUGGGUCCCCCUUUGGCUUGUUCGGAGGGGGGCUUACGUUUUCACACAAACUUUGUAUGCAGUGUAGAAUGUAUUUUUUGUUUUUGCGAUCACGCAAUCAAUACAACUUUCAACAACGGAUCUCUUGGCUCUC
rnacentral:misc_RNA from 1 species